rnacentral:tRNA from 2 species
GGGGGUUUGGCAGAGUGGUCGAUUGCACCGGUCUUGAAAACCGGCAUGCCGAAAGGCAUCCAGGGUUCGAAUCCCUGAGCCCCCGCCA